rnacentral:rRNA from 1 species
GCCAAAUUAAGGUGAAACCGCGGAAGGCUCAUUAUAUCAGUUAUGGUUCAAUAGAUCGUACUUCAGUUACAUGGAUAACUGCGGAAAUACUGGAGCUAAUACAUGCCAACAGAGUCCCGACCGGAGACGGAAGGGACGCUUUUAUUAGAUCAAAACCAAUCGGUGGUUUCGGCCAUCGUCUGACUUGGUGACUCUGAAUAACUUUGGGCUGAUCGCACGGCCUCCGUGCCGGCGACGCAUCUUUCAAAUGUCUGCCUUAUCAACUGUCGAUGGUAGGUUCUGCGCCUACCAUGGUUGUAACGGGUAACGGGGAAUCAGGGUUCGAUUCCGGAGAGGGAGCCUGAGAAACGGCUACCACAUCCAAGGAAGGCAGCAGGCGCGCAAAUUACCCACUCCCGGCUCGGGGAGGUAGUGACGAAAGAUAACGAUACGGGACUCAUCCGAGGCCCCGUAAUCGGAAUGACUACACUUUAAAUCCUUUAAGGAGUAUCAAUUGGAGGGCAAGUCUGGUGCCAGCAGCCGCGGUAAUUCCAGCUCCAAUAGCGUAUAUAAAAGUUGUUGCGGUUAAAAAGCUCGUAGUUGGAUCUGUGUCCCGCACCGUCGGUUCACCGCCCGACGGUGUCAAACUGACGCGAUGCGGGACGUCCUGCCGGUGGCGUGUCUAGCUGGCGUCCUUCGGGGCGUCGGGCGGCGCCGAUUCAAUCCUGUCGCGGUGCUCUUCAUUGAGUGUCGAGGUGGGCCGGCACGUUUACUUUGAACAAAUUAGAGUGCUUCAAGCAGGCUGGAUAUUGCCUGAAUGCUAGUGCAUGGAAUAAUGGAAUAGGACCUCGGUUCUAUUUUGUUGGUUUUCAGAACCAGAGGUAAUGA